GUGGCACCGGAGAAUAAAGCCCAGAGAGCCGGGGCUCCACACGGGGCCGGGCUCGUCGGGUCCCCCUGUGCGGUUCUCAAGGAGUGCCCGGCACCACCGGCGCUCCGGUUCCCCCCACAUCACCCUGGGGGCUCCCCGGGGGGGUCAGGGAGGGCCCCUCCUCAGGAGGGGUUCCUGGGAGCAGGCAGUGGGUUGGGGUGGGAUAGGUGCUGAUCAUACCGUGGACUAAUGGAGUGAUUGGAAGGGAUCACAAAAAAUGUCUGGACUCUCUCGUCCCAUCGCACAGCAAAAACACGUCCUAAACUGCCUCCUCACCCUCAUGGACUGGCAGUGACUGUUUGGAGCUCUGGUAGGAGCACCUGGAGACCAGGGGGAGGAGGCAGCCGUGCCCAGGAGGAAGAGGAGGAGGAGUGGGAGGAUGGAGACAGCGGCCACCAAAGGCUGGGGAGGCACAGCUCCAGCCCUUUGCUUUCCCCAGGUGGUGCUUUAGGAAAGGCCCUCCAGCCUGGGAAGGAGCUUUUGGCCCCAGACACAUUCCCAGUCCCCAGGAGCAGCAGGACCUGGGCUGUCCCCAGCAGGACAGGAAAACCCACUUAACUCAUCCCAUCCUUGCCCAAAGCUUUGGUGUUUGAGCAGCCAAAUCCAAUGGGCACAGACCGGUCAGCCUGCCCUGGAGGGCCCCUGGGCCUGCCCGUGGUGUGGG